rnacentral:rRNA from 1 species
AUUGAACGCUGGCGGCAUGCUUUACACAUGCAAGUCGAACGGCAGCACGGACUUCGGUCUGGUGGCGAGUGGCGAACGGGUGAGUAAUACAUCGGAACGUACCCAGUAAUGGGGGAUAACUAUCCGAAAGGAUAGCUAAUACCGCAUACGCCCUACGGGGGAAAGAGGGGGAUCGCAAGACCUCUUGUUAUUGGAGCGGCCGAUGGCUGAUUAGCUAGUUGGUAGGGUAAAGGCCUACCAAGGCAACGAUCAGUAGCGGGUCUUAGAGGACGAUCCGCCACACUGGAACUGAGACACGGUCCAGACUCCUACGGGAGGCAGCAGUGGGGAAUCUUGGACAAUGGGCGCAAGCCUGAUCCAGCAAUGCCGCGUGCGUGAAGAAGGCCUUCGGGUUGUAAAGCGCUUUUGUCAGGGAGCAAAUCCUUGUGGCUAAUACCCACCGGGGAUGAGAGUACCUGAAGAAUAAGGACCGGCUAACUACGUGCCAGCCGCCGCAGUAA